AAGAGGCGGUAUUGACAGCUGUGGAGGCAGCCCGCGUUCCCGGCAUGCCCCGGGGCGGCGGGGUUGGCUCUAACGAAUUUGAAUGAGGAGCCUCAGCGCUUUCGGCGCCAUUUUCGAGUGAUGCCUGAUCUCAUCAAUCUAGCGGGAGAGACAGGAUAACCUGUCCGAGAGUAUAGCGCCACUGUGACUCCGCCGGAAAAAUUACUUUAAAAAUCACCAAAAAUUACUUGGAGCAAAGGGUAGUCGGCGGAGCUUCGCCAAGGCUGGCGCAGUCGGUUUUGACCUGUAGCAGAGAACUAAUUCUGGAGAACAGCCUCACUUCUUUGAUUGAAUACUCACAUAAUGCAUUGGAACAUGACAUGAGAUUAAGGUUUAAUAAUGAUAGAAUGAAGACCAUAAUAAAAGAGAUCUCUACUUAGCUCAGCAAUUCUUACCUUUCUUACCUAUUUGAUGAAGAUGUCUUUUGAAAGGUGUGCUGCAAGGAACAAAAUGUUUGUAAAUUCUGCUUUUACCAAGGUGGAUAAUUACUGUACCUUCCUCAUGAAAAAAGUUUUAUUUAAAGUGUUAUUUCUCAUUGAAUACUAUCAAAAAGGAAAAAAAAAAAUGACCUAAACUUUUGAGAUAGAUUUGGCUCUAGUAAGUAUUCAGAUAUAUCACUUGCAUAUCUGGGAGAAGAAAUAAGAGACUAUCAUCAAUACAUUCCCAUCUACUAAAAAAUUUUAUUUUACACAUGUCAAGGGAUUACUUCCAUUUUAUUACUAACAGCUUGAACCCUUUUAAUGAAGACCUAACUCCUCCACCAGAAAUUUAAGUUUAUGUUCUUUCUUUGUUUACUUAUAAAAUACAUCUCAGGUAUUUUGGAUGUCUUUUUUUUUUUAAAGCCUAUAUGCAAUGAAAACUAUAUUGGCAAAAUAAAUGUUUAAACCUUUUACGUUAAAAUUACUGUGAAAGAUGACAAGUUAGCUGCUGUUUUUGUCUACAUUAUACUGAAAUUAAAUGUUUAUAAUUUAUAUUUGGGGUUUAUUUAUUUAUAAAUCAUGGAAUUUAUGCAAAAACAUGAGUAGUACAGAUUCUCCUCCAAUUCUGUAGGACUUUAAAUAAUGUGAUAUUUUUCUUAUAAUUGGACCUUUGUGUUUUGAAGAAAUGCCAACUGCUUGAAGAAUCUCCUUGUUAUUUGUAUUAUUUGCUAUAGGGUUAGAUGUUGAGAAAUUCUGCUGACAAAAAAUUUUAAGCCAGUUUUACACUAAAUAUUCCUCAGUCUGAUUUUUUAUUGGAUAUAUUCUGUAUCUUUUGUAAUUUGUAACUUUUAUCCACUUAGCAUGAAUGAUUCUAUUAAAGAAAAUCUUUAGCAAGUGGUAGAAACAUCAAAUCGCCCCAUAGUUUGCCUGUUUCCACAUUUUAUUAUCUUAUAAUCUUCGGGCAUGCUUACACUUAUGGAGCUAACAUUUUCAGAGAUACAGGUUCUCAUAGUACCACGAAAACUUUUUUCCUCUUUGGACUGAAUACCUGUGAUUAUAACUAUAUGGUAGUUUAAGUUUCCUUGUGAUUAGUCAAAAAUACCAUUUUAGUAUGAAGCAAUGAAGUCUAUUAUUUGUUGUCCCAUAAUUGAGAAGGUUUAAAUGUACCUUGUAUUAAGAGUUUGUAAAUUUUAGCUUAGUCUACACAGAUUUUUAUGUCAAUUUGUUUAUAUUUUUAUUAAUGUCAUUUCUGGAAGUGUGAAAAUGUUAAUGUUCGACAAGCAACAUUAAAAAUAGAUUUGAAACAUU